rnacentral:rRNA from 1 species
CGUAAUCAUUUGUCUUUUAAAUGAAGACCAGUAUGAAUGGCAUAACGAGGGCCAAGCUGUCUCCUUUUUCCAGUCAAUGAAAUUGAUCCCCCUGUGCAGAAGCAGGGACACAAACAUAAGACGAGAAGACCCUAUGGAGCUUAAGACACAAGACAGUUCAUGUUAAAAAACCAUAUUAAUGGAAAGAACCAAAUGGCCCCUGUCCUUUUGUCUUUGGUUGGGGCGACCAUGGAGUAACAAAAAACCCCCACGUGGAACAGGGCCCAGGCCCUUAAAGCUAGAGCCACAGCUCUAACAAACAGAACAUCUGACCUUCAAGAUCCGGCAAGACCGAUCAACGGACCGAGUUACCCUAGGGAUAACAGCGCAAUCCCCUUUUAGAGCCCAUAUCGACAAGGGGGUUUACGACCUCGAUGUUGGAUCAGGACACCCUAAUGGUGCAGCCGCUAUUAAGGGUUC